CCGUAGGUGAACCUGCGGAAGGAUCAUUACCA
rnacentral:rRNA from 3 species